GCUCUGCACCUCCCACCCCCUCCCUCCUCCUCCUCCUCCGCCCAGCUCCCCCUCCCUCUGCUGCUCGCAGCCUCGCGGGUGAGGAUCUACUGUACGUGUGAGUUCCUUGAACGAAGUCACACACCCACGGAGGGAAGUAAUCUGGAGGCUGCCGUGCAUCUUGGACAAUUAGAGUCAUGUGAAGAUGUGAACACUGAAGUCACGUGGACUCUCAGGGCUGAAGACGUAGGAAAAGUGUGGGCAGAAGAGGCACAAGACUGAAGUGAUACACUGCUUCUUCUCUAUGACGUGUGGCCUCUUGACUUAAAGUCCAGCUUACUGACUAUGAAGUAAUCAGCUCCCCAUCCUGGAACAGACAAUAAACACCCUCCAAGCCCCGCUUAUGUCUGCUCUUCCCAUCUGCUGGCUGAAUGAAAAGAAUUCAAGGACUUAAGUAUGAGGCAAGCGGAAUCAUGACUUGGAAGGAUCCUAAAGGUCCAUAUGACUAUGUAUGGGAGCAGCGCCCCCAGCAGGGUCUGCCCCAUCUGUGAUUGUAAGCAAUAAAUAUAUGAAUUGUGUCAUAUCAGUGAUAUUUAGCAGUUUGGUAAAUCAGUCAGCCUACUCUGCCAAUACAUCAUCUUGUGGGUGCCUUAGACCUAUAGAUUAAUUAACACAGCCUUACUUUAGGUGCUUGUCAUUUCAAAUCAUCCUUAUCAUUGCCAGUAUAAUUUUUUAUAUCAACUGUUUCAUGGCCGCUUAUUUUUACAUUAUUGUUUUGGAUCACUACCCUAUUAUGACCCUAAGUCCCUCAACAUUUUAAUAUUUGUUUCAUUCCCUUUUUCAUGUUUCCCUCAUCGUGGAGUCCCUGCCUUUUCCUCUCUCUAUAUACAAAUCUCAAUUUUCCUUCCACAUCCUGGUCAAGUUCUGCACUCUUUCUGAGCCUUUUCUGACUCUGCCCGUCCUCUUUUCCUGUGAGGCCCUCCUCUACAAACCCCAGUCCCGUCUCGUAUCACACUGCCCUUCAGUCACACUGUCCUCCCUGACUUAUCCCAAUAGUACACCGAGGUUAUUUCCCUAGUGCUUCUGCAUUCCUUCAUCCAUUUUCCUGAAACUCUGUUAUCCUAAAAACCCUCAUAGUUUUCACCCUUAUUGCAUCAAAUCUCGUAUUAUGCAACAUCUCUCAGAAAAAAAUAUUUCCCUGAUUGCCUUGUUUAAAAUAGUCCUCUCACACCCUGUCACUCAGAAUCCCCCUACUUUGCUUUAAGUUUUUCCCAGUGCUUACAAUCUUACCUGACACAUAUGUCUGUUAGUUUGUUCAUUUUCUAUUCUCUCCCCCAGAAUGUAAGCUUGCCCAGAGCAGGGAACUGGUCUAUUCUGUGCUAUCUACCCAACAUCUAGAUCAGGGCCUGGCAUAUAAUUGGUGCUCAGUGAAGAUCUGUUUAAUAAAGAGAUGAGUGAAUCAAUGAAUCUCUCCUUCUGAAAUCCUGUGUUAAUGAUGAUUAAAACAAAACCCCUUUUGGUACUUUUCACAUGCAUUGCCUCAUUGGAACCUCUCUUUCUUUCUGCCUCCCUAGCUCUCUUUCAGAUAUUUCAUUAUUUAGGGAUGCACACGAUGGGGCUUCAAAUUAAGCUGUUAUGAAAUUACAGUGGCAGAGGAGGAAUCCAUGUAUUUUAACCCUGGACCCUAUAUGAUUGCCACAACAAUAUACACACACCAUCAGAUAGUAUGCAGAUUCAGUCUUAAUUGCAAUGCCUAAGUAUUACCUCUAGUGUUUCCCCAUUAUUUUAAUACGCGCUAUUAUUAUAACUAGAUUGUAAACUGGUUGAAAGAAGAGAUUAUACCUUAACAUAACAGUAAGAGAUCACAUUUUCUCAAAUGUUUCCAUUGAUUUAUUCACUCAUUGAUUUAUUUGUUCGGAAAAUCAAUUCCUCAUGGCUUAACAUAGUAUUAUUUAAAAGUUUUACUUUAAAUAGAACACAAUUCCCUGACUAUAUACAAUAUAUGUUCUACACAUUAAGAACUAUUUUGCAGCCUGUUUAAUUAAAAUACAUAACUAAAUAAUGGCCAUGUUUCAUGCUCUGUGGACAGCUAUAAAAACUCAAAAGUUCUUAUUUCUUCUAUGGCAUAUCUACUUAGUCUGAAGUGAAUAAGGUUUAAAUAAAUUAGUAAAUACAUGACAAAAUGGAAUAUUGUCAUGUCUUCUUUCUUUGAAUGACACAUGCCACAAAAUGCUGCCACCUUUCACACAUUGCAUGGCCUUCAUGUAUAUUUAGCCAUGUUUUUCUUAUGUGAAAUGUUUUCAAAUAGUCAUAAAGCAGUAACAAGAAUAAUUUGACAUCAUGGUAAUGAUUUAUGCUGCAAUUCUUCUUGAACAAAGGAAGCACAGUCUUUCCUCCUUAGCUACAUUAAGUCAUAUAAGCUAUGUGUAGGGUUGGAAUCAAAAUACAGUGCUUGCAUUGAAGCACAAUAGAAAGGCCUUCUAGGGAUUUGCUUGUUUGAGAUUUUCUUGUAUACUUGUACACUCUGCUUUUGGAUUUCAAAAUUGUGUUCUCUUUGAUUCUUAAUGGUGGUUUCUCUAACUAGCUCUUGCUACAAGUGCACUAAUAUGUUUUAGCCAUUUAAGAUGUUUUCUCACCACCUUUUCUAAACGGGAAAAGUGACCAACUAUUUCCUUAGUCUUUGAUUUCAAUUAUUAACUUCACUAGAGAUAUUUCCCACUGAAUCAA